rnacentral:rRNA from 1 species
ACACGCAUGACACACUGCAUAUCAAUAAGCGGAGGAAAAGAAACUAACAAGGAUUCCCUUAGUAACGGCGAGUGAAGCGGGAAGAGCUCAAAUUUGAAAUCUUCAAGGUUCUACCUUGACGAAUUGUAGUUUAUAGAAGUGUUUCUCUGUUAGUGGAGUGGCAAAAGUUCUUUGGAAUAGGACAUCAUAGAGGGUGAGAAUCCCGUAUUUGGUCAUUCCUCCUAGCGUUGUGAUACACUUUCAACGAGUCGGAUUGUUUGGGAAUGCAGUCCAAAAUGGGUGGUAAAUUUCAUCUAAAGCUAUAUAUUGGCGAGAGACCGAUAGCGAACAAGUACCGUGAGGGAAAGAUGAAAAGAACUUUGAAAAGAGAGUUAAACAGUACGUGAAAUUGUCAAAAGGGAAGCGUUUGACACCAGUGUUGUUUUUCCGAAAAUCAAUUACGAAUGUUUUAUUUUUGAGGAGUUAUGACUUCAUCGGCUUGCUCCUUUCUUUACGAAACUUUCUUAAUGCACUUUUCGGUUAACAAGUCAACAUCAAUUUCUUUUGUUGUAAAAGGGUAUGAGGAAGGUGGCUUUCUUUUCGGAGAAAGUGUUUAUAGCCUUGUGCCUCUGCAGUCGGAGAGAUUGAGGUCUGCAGCGUAGAUCCUUCGGGGUUAGAUACGUUUGUGCUAAGCUAUAGUUCUUUAUAGACAACUUGUUGACUAUAAUCAAUCCUGUAACUUACUCGCUUAUGCUAUUUUACCUACGCUUAGGAUGUUGACUGAUAUGUAGUCGUA